rnacentral:ncRNA from 1 species
UUAAAAUCUAUGAUAAGAAUUAGUAGGCUAAAAAACAAAUUUACAGAGAGCUAUAGGUGGUGGAAUUAUAGCAAUUAUGCUUUAGUUGAAUGGGUCUUUGAGAUGCGGUGUGAAAUUUAUUAGUAGCAUCAGCCGUUACCUUACGUUAUAAAGGAUAGAUAUGUUAGUAUCUUAUUAGAGUUAACCUUUCAGGUUAAAAUAGGUGGUACCGCGAUUAUUACGCCCUAUGA